rnacentral:rRNA from 1 species
CAGCAGCCGCGGGAAUACGAAGGGUGCAAGCGUUACUCGGAAUUACUGGGCGUAAAGCGUGCGUAGGUGGUGGUUUAAGUCCGUUGUGAAAGCCCUGGGCUCGACCUGGGAAUUGCAGUGGAUACUGGAUCACUAGAGUGUGGUAGAGGAUAGUGGAAUUUCCGGUGUAGCAGUGAAAUGCGUAGAGAUCGGAAGGAACAUCUGUGGCGAAGGCGACUAUCUGGGCCAACACUGACACUGAGGCACGAAAGCGUGGGGAGCAAACAGGAUUAGAUACCCCUGUAGUCCCUGUCUCUUAUAC